rnacentral:rRNA from 1 species
AUUGAACGCUGGCGGCAGGCCUAACACAUGCAAGUCGAGCGGAAGAAGGGAGCUUGCUCCUGGAUUCAGCGGCGGAGGGGUGAGUAAUGCCUAGGAAUCUGCCUGGUCGUGGGGGAUGACGACCGCAAACGGGCGCUAAUACCGCUAACGUCCUGAGGGAGAAGGUGGGGGAGCUUGGGACCACACGCUAUCAGAUGGGCCUAGGUCGGAUUAGCUAGUUGGUGGGGUAAAGGCCUACCAAGGCGACGAUCCGUAACUGGUCUGAGAGGAUGAUCAGUCACACUGGAACUGAGACACGGCCCAGACUCCUACGGGAGGCAGCAGUGGGGAAUAUUGGACAAUGGGCGAAAGCCUGAUCCAGCCAUGCCGCGUGUGUGAAGAAGGUCUUCGGGUUGUAAAGCACUUUUAGUUGGGAGGAAGUGCAGCAAGUUAAUACCUUGCUGUUUUGACGUUACCAGCAGAAUAAGCACCGGCUAACUACGUG